GUCAGAUUAAGAUGUGAUGUGUUAUUAAUGCUAUGCAUAAUGUUUUAAAGAACAUUGUUUUGUAUUUUCAUAUACUACUGAAAAACAUUUUGGUCAAACAUUAUGACAUUAAUUGCGGGGAAGUGUAUUAUAGAAAGAUUUUCAUUGCUUAUAUUUUCAUGUAUCGCUAAAAUCUCGGUCAAACAGUAUGACAUUAAUUGCGGGGAAAGGUGACGAUUUGGAAUUUCGCUCGUAAUAAUGUAUCAUUUUUAUCAAACAUUAUGACAUUAAUUGCGGGGAAUAUGUUGUAAUAUGGAAUGUUGAGGUAAUUAUGCCAUAAUGUAUUAUAGUGUAUUGGUGCAUUAGUGUAUAAGGAAUUGUAGGUGGAGCAGUCUACAAUGUAAGCUACCCCCCCCCCCUUCCUCAUCAGACAAUAGCCUUACUUUCCCGCCUUUUUGGGGGUACCUGUAUUGCCCAAUGUACUGAUACCCUAUAGGCAUGAUUGGGGAUCCUAUUGUAAGUUUUAGUGGAUGAGUGAUUUUCUUUUGUUCGGGGUCUGUGCACCCAGAGCUGCUAUAGCAGGGACAGAGAGACAUUGUAGAUUGGAGAGAGAGGAGAGAAGCACUAAUUUGUGCCUGCUAAUGGAGAUUGUUAUUUACUUCUGGCAGAUCACAAUUCAUGUAAGUUGAUUUAUACUGUUGGAACUGAUGAUUAUUAUAUAUAUUUCAUAUUAUUAAUGGAUGUCACAUUUUAUGAAUUGCUGAAGAUAAGAUAGUGAAAGUUGAGGAUUGUUGAACCAUGUUGUAUGUACACUGAUAUAAUGACACUUUAUGAUAAAUGUGAUUAACUUAUUUCAUUUGCAUUACAUGUAUCAUGCUUUAUAAAGUAGAUUAUUAUGCUUGAAUUUCUGAUAAUGAUGAAAUGAUAAUUACUCUGACAAAUUAAAUUAAUUUUAAGUUUGUCUUUAUAUAGAUUGAAACAUGUUUCUGUUAAACAAAGUCAAUUAAAAGAAUGACUACCAAAGAGGAUUUAUAUAUAUAUAUAUUUGAAUGUAAUUACAUUGUGUCAUGCAGUUUUCACAAAGUCAUUAUUGUGAAGUAAGAAUUGUUAUUUUAUUGUUGUUACCUUUAGGGCUGCAUGUGGUGAAAUCUCCUUAUUUGAUGAACUACACUUUCUACAAUAAGGUGGAAGCUUUGUUUAUGAUCAGGGGUCGGACGACAGCAUAUAGCGUUAGUGUUGCUUCGUCGUUAUAGUAUUGGCCGGGGCUGUGUUUUCUUUGGUGAAUAAAUGCAAGACUAAAGUUUA